rnacentral:rRNA from 1 species
CUACGGGGUGCUCCAGUGGGGAAUAUUGCACAAUGGGCGCAAGCCUGAUGCAGCAACGCCGCGUGAACGAUGAAGGUCCUUGGGUCGUAAAGUUCUGUCCUUGGGGAAGAAACAAAUGACGGUACCCAAGAAGAAAGCCCCGGCUAAUUACGUGCCAGCAGCCGCGGUAAUACGUAAGGGGCGAGCGUUAUCCGGAAUUAUUGGGCGUAAAGAGUAUGUAGGUGGUUUUUUAAGCGCGAGGUUUAAGGCAAUGGCUCAACCAUUGUUUGCCUUGCGAACUGGAAAACUUGAGUGCAGGAGAGGAAAGCGGAAUUCCUAGUGUAGCGGUGAAAUGCGUAGAUACUAGGAGGAACACCAGUGGCGAAGGCGGCUUUCUGGACUGUAACUGACACUGAGAUACGAAAGCGUGGGGAGCAAACAGGAUUAGAUACCCCGGUAGUC